UACGAAGGGUGCAAACGUUGCUCGGAAUUAUUGGGCGUAAAGCGCACGUAGGCGGCUUAGCAAGUCGGAUGUGAAAUCCCUCGGCUCAACCAAGGAAGUGUAUCCGAAACUGCUGAGCUUGAGUACGAAAGAGGAUCGCGGAAUUCCCGGUGUAGAGGUGAAAUUCGUAGAUAUCAGGAGGAACACCGGUGGCGAAGGCGGGUCUCUGGGCCGAUAUUGACGCUGAGGAGCGAAAGCGUGGGGAGCGAACAGG
rnacentral:rRNA from 1 species